rnacentral:rRNA from 1 species
GACGAACGCUGGCGGCGUGCUUAACACAUGCAAGUCGAACGGAAAGGCCUCUUUCGGGGGGUACUCGAGUGGCGAACGGGUGAGUAACACGUGAGUAACCUGCCCUUGACUUUGGGAUAACUUCAGGAAACUGGGGCUAAUACCGGAUAGGAGCUCCUGCUGCAGGGUGGGGGUUGGAAAGUUUCGGCGGUUGGGGAUGGACUCGCGGCUUAUCAGCUUGUUGGUGGGGUAGUGGCUUACCAAGGCUUUGACGGGUAGCCGGCCUGAGAGGGUGACCGGCCACAUUGGGACUGAGAUACGGCCCAGACGCCUACGGGAGGCAGCAGUGGGGAAUAUUGCACAAUGGGUGGAAGCCUGAUGCAGCAACGCCGUGUGCGGGAUGACGGCCUUCGGGUUGUAAACCGCUUUCGCUCAUGACGAAGCUUUGUGUGACGGUAGUGGGUAAAGAAGCACCGGCUAACUACGUG